GCCGCCUAACACCACGCCACUGCUCCAGCCGAUGGAUCAGCAGGUCAUCGCCAAUUUCAAGAAACUCUACACCAAGGAGCUUUUCAGGCGAUGCUUCGAGGUGACUGAUUGCACCACCAUCACCCUGCGGGAAUUCUGGAAGGACCACUUCAACAUCGUCACCUGCUUGAAGAUGAUCACCACGGCCUGGAAAGGGAUCAGCCAGAGAAAUUUAAAUUGCGCUUGGCGCAGCCUGUGGCCGGACUGUGUGGCACCAAGUGACUCUGAUGCACCAGAGUCAACAGUGGUGCAGGACAUUGUUGCCUUGGGGAGGACCAUGGGCCUGGAGGUCACAGAGGAGGACAUCAGCGAGCUGGUGGAGGAGCACGACCACGAGCCGACCAUCCAGGAGCUGGUCGAACUGCAGGCAGAGGCUGCGUAGGAGCAGGCCUCGCCGGAAGAGGAGGAAGCAACUGAGGAAUGGCUGUCCUCCAAAGAACUGAGGGACAUUUGCCUGAAGUGGAAGGAUGUGCAGGCUUUUGCACAGCGGCACCACCCUGACAAGCACGUGGCACAUGACCUUGUGAACACUUUUGAUACGAGGGUCAUGUCGCCUCUCAGGGAGCUGCUGAAAAGGCGGAUGAAGCAGCAGACCAUGGACAGGUUCUUCAGCAAGAAGCAAAGAGUGGAAGAGGAACCUUCUUCGAGUUGUCCCCCAGAGUCUUAGAAAAUGUAAUGUACCCUUUUUUGAUUUUUAAAUGUUUUUCUGUCAUGUUUAGAAACUUAAUUUAUUGUUCCUUCAAUUUUUGAAAUGCUCUUUACAGUAUGUGUGACUUUAAAGAGCACUUAAUAAACUCUUGUUGUACCAAAUUUGGCUUUGUUUGGACUUUUUUGACCAUAGGAACGCAUUAAUUGAAUUUCAAUGCAUUCCUAUGGGAUUUCAUGCUUCGCAAGACGAAAAAUUCGCUAGACAAAAAAAACUUGCGGAACGAAUUAAUUUCGUCUUGCGAGGCACCACUGUAUUAGAUCGCCUGUCUUCCCAAGUGAUGUGUAAAAUUUUUUGGAGACACCGUUGAUGGAAUCUUUCUUUUUCUUUUUUUUUUAAAUGAUAUUUAUUAAGAAUUUUAAAAUUACAAGAAAAACAAAAAGAAAAAGAAAGAGAAAAAACAAAAGAAAAACAAACCACAAUCAAGCAAUACAAAUUGAUAAAAAUCAAAAUCAAAAAGUAACCACAAAACACGUAACACAAGACAAUCAAAAAGCAAAAAUGAACCACAAAAAUUUAAAAACAAAUCCAAUAUUCCAAAAUCCUUAACUGUCAUUGCCUUAUUUCAUCGACCUCCUCACUCCUCCCUUUUUUGUAUCCUAGUUGUUAAUUAUCACAGCAAAUCCUUUCCAUUUUUCAUAAUAUUCUGUCAUUAAAUUACCUUAAUCUAUUUUAACCUUAUCUUACUAUAAAAGACCCUAAAACUUAAAACUUAGAUCUUAUUUAUACCAGUUUCUCAUAAUUAUAACAUAUUCUUACAAUAUUCUUUUAACAUUUUUGCUAAAGCCAAAUGAUUUCGUUCCAACAUUUUUCUAACAUUCAUCAAUUUUAUAAAACAAUCCUAAUAAAAAAAUUUUUUAAAAAAACUUUCUUCCAAUCUUCAUCCAGCGUCUCUUCCUCCUGGUCCCGGGUUUUGUCAGUCCUUUCUAUCCCAUCAAUCUAGCUCAUUAACCUGGUAAUCUUAUGUCCGAGGCCCUUAAGUCUCUUCCAUGUCCCUUCCGCAGCUCUUCUUCAUAUUUAUACCUGUACUUUACUUUGUCUCCUGCUCCUUUCACUCGUGGAAACUCCAACUUGACAGUGUUUUUGACCCUUCUCGACAAAUCAGCCCCUUUUCCAUAGUCCACACUAAACUCCAUGUGGUAUUUAAAAACAUGUUUCAAAAUCCCUCCAGAAUUAAGAGCCCCCACAACCCCAAACAUCUCACGGCCCAUUGCCAGACUUGAAAAGUCCAAACAUCCCUGCAUAGGGGGGUCUACCCAACCCCCCAUUUCCAAACCAGACAAAACUCUAUCUCUCCAAGCCUGGCUUUUUCCAAGUUCAUUUGUCAAAUCCAACAACUCAUGUUCCUGCUGGGCCACAGCUCCCUCCAUCUCUGGCACCCAAGGUCCAGCAACAUCCUCUUCCCUCAUCUGAUCUGUCAGAGCACACUCCUGAUUUGAUUCCUGGGUGGGUUCUAUAUAGUUACCCACUACCUGUCCAAAAUUUCUGAUCGCAACAGUCAUCAAGUCCGUCUUCUCAUGUAACUGUUCCAAUAGGGCACUUGUUUUGCAGAAAGCACGCACCAGAGCUUCUGAAUACAUUGUUAUACAAGGUCAGAAGUCUGUUCCCACGAUUGUAAUCUGUUGCAGCUGCAGCGCUCCCGAUUUAGAUUUAGUAACAGUUUCACAGGCUCCCUCUAGGGGAAGAACUUCUAUUUGAUCUUUUCUUUUAAAAGUAGAUCUAGCAACAAAGUUUCCUUUUUCAGAUAUUUUGUCAAUAUUUGUUCCUUUAAAAUGCGAAGGAGAACGAUGGAAUCACUGUGUUUCUCUUCUUUUAACUGUCUGUCAAAGACGUUUGUCUAUGGUCAAUGAACUUCCCAAAGAACGUCAGUCCUGACACCCCGCUCCCAGGUUCAAGACGGUGGAAAAUUACUUUUCUUUACACUCUCUUCUGCAGGUUUAACCAGUCCGGAAAAAAUCCCCCCUCUUCUCCUGCUUCCGAGAGGGGUUCAACAAUUUUAAAUGAUGAAAGUUAAUCCUUUACAAAUGAUUUUCUGAACUCUAGUUUGCCAUGUCUUUGCUUUAAUCUAUCUACAAGAAACGGAAGGCUGACUUCCUGUUUAGACCUUCCCGUUUCAGUGCCAAAUUGAGAAGAAUUUCUUAGUCCAAUUUUCCUUUCUACUUGCAGGUCAUUAUUUAAAGUCCAAUUGUUCGAAAUUGAGCUACUCACAGGUAAUUGUUUUAAAAGCCAAAUUGUCCCAGGAAAAAGGCAGCGCUCUCCGGCAACGGCUAUGUGGCUUCACUCCACGGAAGAAGCAGUUGACUCUCUCUUUUUUUAAAAAAAAUGAUAUUUAUUAAGGUUUCAAAGAAAAGAAUUACACGAAUUAAAAAAGGGG